rnacentral:rRNA from 1 species
CAGCAGCCGCGGUAAUACGAAGGGGGCUAGCGUUGCUCGGAAUGACUGGGCGUAAAGGGCGCGUAGGCGGCGGCCAAAGUCAGGCGUGAAAUUCCUGGGCUUAACCUGGGGACUGCGCUUAAUACAGGCAGUCUAGAGUGAGGAAGAGGGUUGUGGAAUUCCCAGUGUAGAGGUGAGAUUCGUAGAUAUUGGGGAGAACACCGGUGGCGAAGGCGGCAACCUGGUCCUUGACUGACGCUGAGGCGCGAAAGCGUGGGGAGCAAACAGGAUUAGAUACCCCGGUAGUCCCUGUCUCUUAUAC